rnacentral:tRNA from 1 species
CAGAAAGGCUCGCAAGCAACGAAAGCUGCUAACUUUCGCAACUCUGGUUGGACCCCAGAGCUCACUCG